rnacentral:snRNA from 1 species
AGCUUUGCGCAGUGGCAGUAUCGUAGCCAAUGAGGUUUAUUCGAGGUGCGAUUAUUGCUAAUUGAAACAUUGUGAAGUUCUCCAUAUAUGCAGGCUGACCUUUUUUCCUCCCAAACCCGUACCCUCAUUUAUUGGUAUAGCAAAAAUAGAACUAGCCAGUU